rnacentral:rRNA from 1 species
AGAUUGAACGCUGGCGGCGUGCCUAACACAUGCAAGUCGAGCGGUAACAGGUGUAGCAAUACAUGCUGACGAGCGGCGAACGGGUGAGUAAUGCUUUGGAAUCUUCCCAGUAGUGGGGAAUAACCAGUCGAAAGAUUGGCUAAUACCGCAUACGUCUGUAAAGGGAAAGCGGGGGCUCGUAAGACCUCGCGCUAUUGGAUGAGCCAAAGUCGGAUUAGCUUGUUGGUGGGGUAAUGGCCUACCAAGGCGACAAUCCGUAGCUGGUCUGAGAGGACGACCAGCCACACCGGAACUGAGACACGGUCCGGACUCCUACGGGAGGCAGCAGUGGGGAAUAUUGGACAAUGGGGGAAACCCUGAUCCAGCGACGCCGCGUGUGUGAAGAAGGCCUGCGGGUUGUAAAGCACUUUUAGUGGGGACAAAAAGCUACGGAUUAAUACUCUGUGGUCUUGAUUUAACCCAAAGAAAAGCACCGGCUAACUCUGCGCCAGCAGCCGCGGU